rnacentral:rRNA from 1 species
GGAUUGAACGCUGGCGGCAUGCCUUACACAUGCAAGUCGAACGGCAGCACGGGAGCAAUCCUGGUGGCGAGUGGCGAACGGGUGAGUAAUACAUCGGAACGUGCCCAAUCGUGGGGGAUAACGCAGCGAAAGCUGUGCUAAUACCGCAUAAGAUCUACGGAUGAAAGCAGGGGAUCGCAGGACCUUGCGCGAAUGGAGCGGCCGAUGGCAGAUUAGGUAGUUGGUGAGGUAAAGGCUCACCAAGCCUUCGAUCUGUAGCUGGUCUGAGAGGACGACCAGCCACACUGGGGCUGAGACACGGCCCAGACUCCUACGGGAGGCAGCGAGUGGGGAAUUUGGACAAGUGGCGAAAGCCUGAUCCAGCCAUGCCGCGUGCAGGAUGAAGGCCUUCGGGUUAGUAAACGUGUCGUUUUGUAACGGAACGAAACGGUCGUAGGUUAAUACCGUCGGACUAAGUGACGGUACGUAAGAAUAAGCAACCGGUACAACGUACGUGUA